GACGAACGCUGGCGGCGUGCUUAACACAUGCAAGUCGUACGGUAAGGCCCUUUCGGGGGUACUCGAGUGGCGAACGGGUGCGUAACACGUGAGUAACCUGCCCACAACUUUGGGAUAACGCUAGGAAACUGGUGCUAAUACUGGAUAUGUGCUCCUGCUGCAUGGUGGGGGUUGGAAAGCUCCGGCGGUUGUGGAUGGACUCGCGGCCUAUCAGCUUGUUGGUGGGGUAGUGGCCUACCAAGGCGGCGACGGGUAGCCGGCCUGAGAGGGUGACCGGCCACAUUGGGACUGAGAGACGGCCCAGACUCCUACGGGAGGCAGCAGUGGGGAAUAUUGCACAAUGGGCGCAAGCCUGAUGCAGCAACGCCGCGUGCGGGAUGACGGCCUUCGGGUUGUAAACCGCUUUCAGCAGGGACGAAGCUUUUUGUGACGGUACCUGCAGAAGAAGCACCGGCUAACUACGUG
rnacentral:rRNA from 1 species